GGUACACGCUGUGACUAGCAUAUCAAUAAGCGGAGGAAAAGAAACUAACAAGGAUUCCCCUAGUAACGGCGAGUGAAGCGGGAAGAGCUCAAAUUUGAAAUCUUAAAGGGCUUUCCCUUUACGAAUUGUAGUUUAAAGAAGUGUUUUCUGUUGAGGUUUUGGUAAAAGUUCUUUGGAAUAGGACAUCAUAGAGGGUGAGAAUCCCGUAUCUGACCUUUACUUUCAACUUUGUGAUACACUUUCAAAGGGUCGGAUUGUUUGGGAAUGCAGUCCAAAAUGGGUGGUAAAUUUCAUCUAAAGCUAAAUAUUGGCGAGAGACCGAUAGCGAACAAGUACCGUGAGGGAAAGAUGAAAAGAACUUUGAAAAGAGAGUUAAACAGUACGUGAAAUUGUCAAAAGGGAAGCGUUUGACACCAGUGUUGUUUUUUCUGAAAAUCAAUUAAAGAACUGUUUAUGCUAAGCUUGUUUAGACUUUAUCAGCUAACUGUUUAGUUUUGAGCUUUUCUUUAAUGCACUUUUCAGUUAACAAGUCAACAUCAAUUUCUUUUGCUGUAAAAAAAGCUUGAGGAAGGUGGCUUGAGAUUCGUCUUAAGUGUUUAUAGCCUCUUGCCUAUGCAGUCGGAGAGAUUGAGGUCUGCAGCGUAGAUCCUUCGGGGCUAAAUGCAUUUGUGCUAAGUUAUAAGCAUUUUAUAGACAACUUGUUUGACUAUGAUUUGUCUUGUAGCUUACUCGCUUAUGUUAUUUUACCUACGCUUAGGAUGUUGACGCGCGUGUGUGCGUG
rnacentral:rRNA from 1 species